UACAGAGGUCUCAAGCGUUGUUCGGAUUCAUUGGGCGUAAAGGGUGCGUAGGUGGCGCUGUAAGUCGGGUGUGAAAUUUCGGAGCUUAACUCCGAAACUGCAUUCGAUACUGCGGUGCUUGAGGACUGGAGAGGAGACUGGAAUUCAUGGUGUAGCAGUGAAAUGCGUAGAGAUCAUGAGGAAGACCAGUGGCGAAGGCGGGUCUCUGGACAGUUCCUGACACUGAGGCACGAAAGCUAGGGGAGCAAACAGG
rnacentral:rRNA from 1 species